UACGAAGGGGGCUAGCGUUGCUCGGAAUCACUGGGCGUAAAGGGUGCGUAGGCGGGUCUUUAAGUCAGGGGUGAAAUCCUGGAGCUCAACUCCAGAACUGCCUUUGAUACUGAGGAUCUUGAGUAUGGGAGAGGUGAGUGGAACUGCGAGUGUAGAGGUGAAAUUCGUAGAUAUUCGCAAGAACACCAGUGGCGAAGGCGGCUCACUGGCCCAUACUGACGCUGAGGCACGAAAGCGUGGGGAGCAAACAGG
rnacentral:rRNA from 1 species